CUUGCAUCAGCAAAUGCCUUUGAUUAGCCUGGCCAGCAGAAAUAACCUACUGAGCCUUGAGUAGACGUGGCAGACAGAAAUCUAAACAUCACCCAAAGCAGUGAAGUCCCAGGCAUUAAUCUUCAACAAAUAUUUAUUGAAAUCUGGCAGUCCAGACAUGCUUAUUCCAGGAGAAGCUGACAAGUAAAAGAGGGAGAAAGAGAGACAGGCAUGCGACCAAGCACAGUUUAUUUUCACAAGCUGCAUGCUAGCGAACAAAGACCUAGGAGAGCACAUCAAAAAAGGCAAUAUGUUCUGGCUGGGGGCUUGGAGCAGUCUGGAAGAACUCACAGAAGUGAUGACAUUCAAAGAAGGCCUGAGGAAGUAAAGAAAUUCACCGGGCAGAGAAAGAAGGGAAGGACAUUUUACAUCAGAGUGGGAACAGCACGAGCAUAUCAUGGCAGCGAAGAGCAUAUGGCACUUUUAUGAUAGAACGUAAGAUGCAGAGGUGGGAAGGUGGCAGAGGACAUUCAAAAGUGACGUUGCAGUCAUAUUCUGAGGGAUCUGACAGAUGAGCUGUUAAGAAAUAUGGACUCUGUUCUAUCAGUAUUAUGAAAUCAUUGAAUCAUUCAUUCAUUGAAAUGGUAUUUUCGGAGGACUUACUAUGUGCUAAGUACUGUGUCAGCCUCUGAAGAUUAAAAUAAAAAGGAAGGCCCUCCAGGGACUCACAGUCUGGUAGGGAGAAAGGCAGGCAAACAGUCACAGUACGGGCAUCAUAAGCUUUUAAAGCUCCAGCCAUUCUACCUGCCAUCCAAGCAGUGAGAAGAGGAGAGAGAGAGGAAGACAAAUAGGAGAAGAGCUUUCUAUACAGCAUUCCUGGAUGUCUCGUCCAACAUUUGUUGGAUGUUAUUGGAUGUUCCAUCAUACUUGUGGGCCAGGACUUAGUUAAAUGGCUACACCUUGCUACAAGGAAGUCUGGGAAAUACAGUCUUUCAGCUGGAUACAUCCCCCUGGCCUGAAUAAAAGCUGGGUUCUCUUACAAAGCACAAAAAGGGGAUUGAAUAUUGGUUAGGCACCUGUCAAUCUUUCAUAUCAGCCCACGUGAGAUAGCCAGGGUUUGGUGAAAUAAAAUGCUGUUUCUCCUCAAAACACUUCUCUCUUCCUGAUUGGGGAGGGACCCUGUUCUCUGCAGAGAAAUUCUUUCUCAUGACAGGGCCAACAUGUCUGCCAAAAGACAGCAAUAGGACUUCCCAAUCAUUCUAUAUAUUUAAGGGAGACUUUUUAAAAACUACAAUACGGUUGAACUCAUGUGAUUUUUUUUUUUGCCAUGAAGUUUCUUGUUAAGCAUUGAACAUUUAAAAGUAAAUUUUGACUAAUGUGAAAUAAAAGAAUGUUACUUGAAGCAACAAAAAAUGCUAAGUAUCAUUAGUCAUUAGGAAAUGCAAACUUUAAUGAGAUACCAUUAUAUACCUACUGAACUGGCUACAAUGAAAAAUACUGACUCUGGUAUUUUAAAAGAUUGUUUAUUAACAGUUGUCCAGGGGAGCAAUUGGAACCCAUGUCAUUGCUGGUGGAGAGACGAAAUUGUACAGCCAUUUUGGAAACCUGACUGGUGGUUUUAAAAGAUUAAACUCAUUCUUACCAUAUAACUCCAAAAUUCUGCUUCUAGGCAUUUAGUUCUUUCCACACAAAGUCUUGAACACCAGUGUCCAUAGCAGCCUCAAACUAGAAGAACAGGUGUGUCAGCAGGUGAAUGUGCAUCAACAGGUGAACAGAUAAACAAAUUGUAUGACAGCCACACAAAGGAAUAUUACUCAGCACUAAAG
rnacentral:lncRNA from 10 species